UACGUAGGCAGCAAGCGUUGUUCGGAGUUACUGGGCGUAAAGGGUGUGUAGGCGGUUGGAUAAGUGUGGUGUGAAAUCUCCCGGCUCAACUGGGAGGGUGCGCUACAAACUGUCUGACUAGAGUGUGGGAUGGGUAAGUGGAAUUCCUGGUGUAGCGGUGAAAUGCGUAGAUAUCAGGAGGAACACCAAUGGCGAAGGCAGCUCGCUGGGACGUGACUGACGCUGAGACGCGAAAGCGUGGGGGAGCAAACAGG
rnacentral:rRNA from 1 species